UUAAGUUAUUAAGGGCGCACGGUGGAUGCCUUGGCACUAGAAGCCAAUGAAGGACGUUACUAACGACGAUAUGCUUUGGGGAGCUGUAAGUAAGCUUUGAUCCAGAGAUUUCCGAAUGGGGAAACCCAGCAUGAGUUAUGUCAUGUUAUCGAUAUGUGAAUACAUAGCAUAUCAGAAGGCACACCCGGAGAACUGAAACAUCUUAGUACCCGGAGGAAGAGAAAGAAAAUUCGAUUCCCUUAGUAGCGGCGAGCGAAACGGGAAGAGCCCAAACCAACAAGCUUGCUUGUUGGGGUUGUAGGACACUCUAUACGGAGUUACAAAGGACGACAUUAGACGAAUCAUCUGGAAAGAUGAAUCAAAGAAGGUAAUAAUCCUGUAGUCGAAAAUGUUGUCUCUCUUGAGUGGAUCCUGAGUACGACGGAGCACGUGAAAUUCCGUCGGAAUCUGGGAGGACCAUCUCCUAAGGCUAAAUACUCUCUAGUGACCGAUAGUGAACCAGUACCGUGAGGGAAAGGUGAAAAGCACCCCGGAAGGGGAGUGAAAUAGAACCUGAAACCGUGUGCUUACAAGUAGUCAGAGCCCGUUAAUGGGUGAUGGCGUGCCUUUUGUAGAAUGAACCGGCGAGUUACGAUUUGAUGCAAGGUUAAGCAGUAAAUGUGGAGCCGUAGCGAAAGCGAGUCUGAAUAGGGCGUUUAGUAUUUGGUCGUAGACCCGAAACCAGGUGAUCUACCCUUGGUCAGGUUGAAGUUCAGGUAACACUGAAUGGAGGACCGAACCGACUUACGUUGAAAAGUGAGCGGAUGAACUGAGGGUAGCGGAGAAAUUCCAAUCGAACCUGGAGAUAGCUGGUUCUCUCCGAAAUAGCUUUAGGGCUAGCCUCAAGUGAUGAUUAUUGGAGGUAGAGCACUGUUUGGACGAGGGGCCCCUCUCGGGUUACCGAAUUCAGACAAACUCCGAAUGCCAAUUAAUUUAACUUGGGAGUCAGAACAUGGGUGAUAAGGUCCGUGUUCGAAAGGGAAACAGCCCAGACCACCAGCUAAGGUCCCAAAAUAUAUGUUAAGUGGAAAAGGAUGUGGCGUUGCCCAGACAACUAGGAUGUUGGCUUAGAAGCAGCCAUCAUUUAAAGAGUGCGUAAUAGCUCACUAGUCGAGUGACACUGCGCCGAAAAUGUACCGGGGCUAAACAUAUUACCGAAGCUGUGGAUUGUCCUUUGGACAAUGGUAGGAGAGCGUUCUAAGGGCGUUGAAGCAUGAUCGUAAGGACAUGUGGAGCGCUUAGAAGUGAGAAUGCCGGUGUGAGUAGCGAAAGACGGGUGAGAAUCCCGUCCACCGAUUGACUAAGGUUUCCAGAGGAAGGCUCGUCCGCUCUGGGUUAGUCGGGUCCUAAGCUGAGGCCGACAGGCGUAGGCGAUGGAUAACAGGUUGAUAUUCCUGUACCACCUAUAAUCGUUUUAAUCGAUGGGGGGACGCAGUAGGAUAGGCGAAGCGUGCGAUUGGAUUGCACGUCUAAGCAGUAAGGCUGAGUAUUAGGCAAAUCCGGUACUCGUUAAGGCUGAGCUGUGAUGGGGAGAAGACAUUGUGUCUUCGAGUCGUUGAUUUCACACUGCCGAGAAAAGCCUCUAGAUAGAAAAUAGGUGCCCGUACCGCAAACCGACACAGGUAGUCAAGAUGAGAAUUCUAAGGUGAGCGAGCGAACUCUCGUUAAGGAACUCGGCAAAAUGACCCCGUAACUUCGGGAGAAGGGGUGCUCUUUAGGGUUAACGCCCAGAAGAGCCGCAGUGAAUAGGCCCAAGCGACUGUUUAUCAAAAACACAGGUCUCUGCUAAACCGUAAGGUGAUGUAUAGGGGCUGACGCCUGCCCGGNUUGUACAUUGAAAACUAGAUAAGUAAGUAAAAUAUAGAUUUUACCAAGCAAAACCGAGUGAAUAAAGAGUUUUAAAUAAGCUUGAAUUCAUAAGAAAUAAUCGCUAGUGUUCGAAAGAACACUCACAAGAUUAAUAACGCGUUUCCUGUAGGAUGGAAACAUA
rnacentral:rRNA from 1 species